rnacentral:rRNA from 1 species
CGGAGGGAUCAUUAAAGAGUGUAAAAACUCCCAACCCAUGUUUACCUACCUUCCCUGGAGUCUUCGGGCUUCAGGCGUUGCUUCGGGGGACUUCGGUCCCCCGGAGGUGCAAAACUUAUUGUCUAAAGUAUCUCUGAGGCCUAUUGGCAACUAUAACAACUUUCAACAACGGAUCUCUUGGCUCCAGCAUCGAUGAAGAACGCAGCGAAAUGCGAUAAGUAUUGUGAAUUGCAGAAUCCAGUGAAUCAUCGAAUCUUUGAACGCACAUUGCGCCCGCUGGUAUUCCGGCGGGCAUGCCUGUUCGAGCGUCAUUUCAACCCUCAAAUCCCCCGGAUUUGGUGUUGGGACGUCCGCGUCAGCGGAGGUCCUCAAAUCUAUAGGCGGUACCGCACGGCACUGAACGCAGUAAUCUUUAUUCGUUUAGUUGGUCGGGUGGCCACUUGCCUCUAAACCCUUUUUCUUCAGGUUGACCUCGGAUCAGGUAGGAAUACCCGCUGAACUUAAGCAUAUCAAUAAGCGGAGGAAAAGAAACCAACAGGGAUUGCCUCAGUAACGGCGAGUGAAGCGGCAACAGCUCAAAUUUGAAAUCUGGCCUUCGGGUCCGAGUUGUAAUUUGCAGAGGAUGCGUUCGGCGACGCACUGACC